rnacentral:tRNA from 1 species
GAAGAUAUAGUUCAGUGGUAGAGCGCAUGCUUAGCAUGCACAAGGCCCUGGGUUCAAUCCCCAGUAAUGUCA